rnacentral:rRNA from 1 species
GAUGAACGCUAGCGAUAGGCUUAACACAUGCAAGUCGAGGGGCAGCACAAGGUAGCUUGCUAUCUGGGUGGCGACCGGCGCACGGGUGCGUAACGCGUAUGCAACUUGCCCUAUACAGGAGGAUAACCCGUCGAAAGACGGACUAAUACUGCGUAUGCUCACAACUUGGCAUCAAGUGGUGAGGAAAGAAAUUCGGUAUAGGAUAGGCAUGCGUCCCAUUAGCUUGUUGGUGAGGUAACGGCUCACCAAGGCAACGAUGGGUAGGGGAACUGAGAGGUUUAUCCCCCACACUGGUACUGAGACACGGACCAGACUCCUACGGGAGGCAGCAGUGAGGAAUAUUGGUUAAUGGGCGCGAGCCUGAACCAGCCAAGUCGCGUGAAGGAGGACUGUCUUAUGGAUUGUAAACUUCUUUUAUACGGGAAUAACAAGAGUCACGUGUGACUCCCUGCAUGUACCGUAUGAAUAAGCAUCGGCUAACUCCGUG